UACGUAGGGUGCGAGCGUUUGUCCGGAAUUAUUGGGCGUAAAGAGCUUGUAGGCGGUUUGUCGCGUCUGCUGUGAAAUCCGGGGACGUCAACCCCGGACUUGCAGUGGGUACGGGCAGACUAGAGUGUGGUAGGGGAGACUGGAAGUUCCUGGUGUAGCGGUGAAAUGCGCAGAUAUCAGGAGGAACACCGAUGGCGAAGGCAGGUCUCUGGGCCAGCUACUGACGCUGAGAAGCGAAAGCAUGGGGAGCGAACAGG
rnacentral:rRNA from 1 species